UACGUAGGGGGCAAGCGUUGUCCGGAUUUAUUGGGCGUAAAGAGCGUGUAGGCGGCCAGGUAGGUCCGUUGUGAAAACUGGAGGCUUAACCUCCAGCUGUCGAUGGAAACCAUCUGGCUAGAGUCCGGAAGAGGAGAGUGGAAUUCCUGGGUGUAGCGGUGAAAUGCGCAGAUAUCAGGAGGAACACCCGUGGCGAAAGCGGCUCUCUGGGACGGU
rnacentral:rRNA from 1 species